AAAUCGACCGCCUGGGGAGUACGGCCGCAAGGUUAAAACUCAAAUGAAUUGACGGGGGCCCGCACAAGCGGUGGAGCAUGUGGUUUAAUUCGAUGCAACGCGAAGAACCUUACCUGGUCUUGACAUCCACAGAACUUUCCAGAGAUGGAUUGGUGCCUUCGGGAACUGUGAGACAGGUGCUGCAUGGCUGUCGUCAGCUCGUGUUGUGAAAUGUUGGGUUAAGUCCCGCAACGAGCGCAACCCUUAUCCUUUGUUGCCAGCGGUUAGGCCGGGAACUCAAAGGAGACUGCCAGUGAUAAACUGGAGGAAGGUGGGG
rnacentral:rRNA from 1 species